rnacentral:rRNA from 1 species
UACGAAGGGGGCUAGCGUUGCUCGGAAUCACUGGGCGUAAAGCGCACGUAGGCGGAUCGUUAAGUCAGGGGUGAAAUCCUGGAGCUCAACUCCAGAACUGCCCUUGAUACUGGCGACCUUGAGUUCGGGAGAGGUGAGUGGAACUGCGAGUGUAGAGGUGAAAUUCGUAGAUAUUCGCAAGAACACCAGUGGCGAAGGCAGCUCUCUGGGACGGUACUGACGCUGAGGCGCGAAAGCGUGGGGAGCAAACAGG